rnacentral:rRNA from 1 species
UACGUAGGGGGCAAGCGUUGUCCGGAUUUAUUGGGCGUAAAGAGCGUGUAGGCGGCCAGGUAGGUCGGUUGUGAAAACUAGAGGCUUAACCUCUAGACGUCGACCGAAACCAUCUGGCUAGAGUCCGGAAGAGGAGAGUGGAAUUCUUGGUGUAGCGGUGAAAUGCGCAGAUAUCAGGAAGAACACCCGUGGCGAAAGCGGCUCUCUAGGACGGUACUGACGCUGAGACGCGAAAGCGUGGGGAGCGAACAGG